AUUGAACGCCGGCGGCAGGCCUAACACAUGCAAGUCGAGCGGUUGACGGGAGCUUGCUCCCUGAUUCAGCGGCGGACGGGUGAGUAAUGCCUAGGAAUCUGCCUAUUAGUGGGGGACAACGUUUCGAAAGGAACGCUAAUACCGCAUACGUCCUACGGGAGAAAGCAGGGGACCUUCGGGCCUUGCGCUAAUAGAUGAGCCUAGGUCGGAUUAGCUUGUUGGUGAGGUAAUGGCUCACCAGGGCGACGAUCCGUAACUGGUCUGAGAGGAUGAUCAGUCACACUGGAACUGAGACACGGUCCAGACUCCUACGGGAGGCAGCAGUGGGGAAUAUUGGACAAUGGGCGAAAGCCUGAUCCAACCAUGCCGCGUGUGUGAAGAAGGUCUUCGGAUUGUAAAGCACUUUAAGUUGGGAGGAAGGGUUGUAGAUUAAUACUCUGCAAUUUUGACGUUACCGACAGAAUAAGCACCGGCUAACUCUGUGCCAGCCGCCGCCGUAA
rnacentral:rRNA from 1 species